AUGAACACUCCAAACCAGUAUAGAAACCCAAACCAGUAUAGACACCCCAUUGGGGUUACUGGGGGAUACUGGGAGGAUACUGGGGGUACUGGGAGGGCACUGGGAGAUACUAGGAGGGCACUGGGGAUACUGGGGGGAUACUGGGAGGAUACUGGGGAUACUGGGAGGGCACUGGGGGAUAAUGGGAGGGCACUGGGGAUACUGGGGGAUACUGGGAGGACACUGGGGGAUACUGGGGAUACUGGGAGGGCACUGGGGGAUAAUGGGAGGGCACUGGGGAUACUGGGGGAUACUGGGAGGACACUGGGGGAUACUGGGGAUACUGGGAGGGCACUGGGGGAUAAUGGGAGGGCACUGGGGAUACUGGGGGAUACUGGAAGGACACUGGGGGAUACUGGGGAUACUGGGAGGGCACUGGGGGAUAAUGGGAGGGCACUGGGGAUACUGGGGGAUACUGGAAGGACACUGGGGGAUACUGGGGAUACUGGGAGGGCACUGGGGGAUACUGGGAGAACACUGGGGGAUACUGGGGAUACUGGGAGGGCAGUGGGAGCACUGGUUUGUACUGGGCGCACUGGGUUUUACUGGGAGCACCGGGUUUUACUGGGAGCACCGGGUUUGUACUGGGAGCACUGGGUUUGUACUGGGCGCACUGGUUUGUACUGGGAGCACUGGGUUUUACUGGGAGCACCGGGAGUUUUUGUACUGGGGGCACGGCUCCGUCUAUUCCCGUAAUUACGGUACUGCCGCUACCGUAAUACCCGCAGUAUUGGCGCACUCCCCGGUACCGUAAUACCCGCAGUAUUCGCGCACCUUUCGGUACCGUAAUACCCGGAGCAGCGGCGCCGCCGCGAUUACCGUAAUGCGCCCUUCAUUAAUCAAUUAAUUAAUUAAUUAACGCAUUAAGCGCGGUGGGGAAGCGCUGGGGGCGUGGGGAUGGACACGCGGAGGAACAGCUGGACGCAGGGACAGUGGUGUAAUUAAUUAGUGUUAAUUAAUAAAUUAAUUGUAUGUUAUUGUAGCUAAUUAAAUGCGUGCUCCAGCCUAUUAAUAACGCAAAUUUCUGUGCAAUUACGUGUAAAACGCAUCCGAUAAAAAAUGUAUUUUAUAUAAAUCUAUUUUACAUGAAUGCCUUUUAUAUCAAUAAAUCGAUACGCAUAUUUUUAUUAAAAGGAGUUUUUUAUAAAUACAUGCAUUAAUGUAUUAAUUAUGGCAUGUAUUAAUUAGCUGGUUAAUAAUACAUUCUAUACAUUAAGUAAUCACCAUUAAUUUCUGUCAAUACUCGAGACACAAAAAUUAAGAUUUCUGUAUUACAAAGUCGGCUUGAUAGAG
rnacentral:lncRNA from 12 species